rnacentral:tRNA from 1 species
GGAGAGUUGGCCGAGUGGACGAAGGCGCACGCUUGGAAAGCGUGUAUGCGGCGAUGAGCUGUAUCGUGGGUUCGAAUCCCACACUCUCCG